rnacentral:rRNA from 1 species
ACGACCUCUUUCGGCAGGCUUCCCCCAUGCAAUGCUAACGCAUCCUGCGGUUUGAGUGGCCUCCUUUUGAGUAACGCGUGGGAACGUGCCUAUCAGUUCGGGCUCCCCCAGGGAAACGGUUGCUAAUACCGGAUACGUGCGAGAUCCUAACGAUUUAUCGCGUACGGAUCGGCCCGCGUCUGAUUAGCUAGUUGGUGGGGUAAUGGCCCACCAAGGCGACGAUCAGUAGCUGGUCUGAGAGGAUGAUCAGCCACAUUGGGACUGAGACACGGCCCAAACUCCUACGGGAGGCAGCAGUGGGCAACAUUGGACAAUGGGCGCAAGCCUGAUCCAGCCAUGCCGCGUGAGUGAUGAAGGCCUUAGGGUUGUAAAGCUCUUUCGUCCGGGACGAUAAUGACGGUACCGGAAGAAGAAGCCCCGGCUAACUUCGUGCCAGCCGCCGCGGUAA